rnacentral:misc_RNA from 1 species
UCCGGUUUGCCACCGGCAGUCUCAUUAGAGUGCCCAACUGAAUGUAGCAACUAAUGAUAAGGGUUGCGCUCGCUGCGGGACUUAACCCAACAUCUCACGACACGAGCUGACGACGGCCAUGCAGCACCUGUGUUCUAGUUCUCUUUCGAGCACGAAACCAUCUCUGGUAACUUCUAGACAUGUCAAGGGUAGGUAAGGUUUUUCGCGUUGCAUCGAAUUAAACCACAUCAUCCACCGCUUGUGCGGGUCCCCGUCAAUUCCUUUGAGUUUUAAUCUUGCGACCGUACUCCCCAGGCGGAUGACUUCACGCGUUAGCUGCGUUACUAAGGGAUUUAACUCCCCCAACAACUAGUCAUCAUCGUUUAGGGCGUGGACUAC